rnacentral:rRNA from 1 species
GAUGAACGCUGGCGGCGUGCCUAACACAUGCCAGUCGAGCGGCAGCGAGGGGUGCUUGCACCCUGUCGGCGAGCGGCGGACGGCUGAGUAACGCGUGGGAACGUGCCCCAAAGUGAGGAAUAACUGCCCGAAAGGGUAGCUAAUACCGCAUAUUAUCUUCGGAUCAAAGGAUUUAUCCGCUUUGGGAGCGGCUCGCGUCGGAUUAGGUAGUUGGUGAGGUAAUGGCUCACCAAGCCGACGAUCCGUAGCUGGUCUGAGAGGAUGACCAGCCAGACUGGAACUGAGACACGGUCCAGAGUCCUACGGGAGGCAGCAGUGAGGAAUCUACCACAAUGGGCGAAAGCCUGAUGGAGCAACGCCGCGUGCAGGACGAAGGCCUUCGGGUUGUAAACUGCUUUUAUAAGUGAGGAAUAUGACGGUAACUUAUGAAUAAGGAUCGGCUAACUACGUG